rnacentral:rRNA from 1 species
UGGGGAAUUGUUCGCAAUGGGCGCAAGCCUGACGACGCAACGCCGCGUGGAGGAUGAAGGCCCUUACGGGUCGUAAACUUCUGUUCUGAGGGACGAAAUUUUUUGACGGUACCUCAGGAGAAAGUAUCGGCAAACCCUGUGCCAGCAGCCGCGGUAAGACAGGGGAUACAAGCGUUACUCGGAAUUACUGGGCGUAAAGCGUCUGUAGGUGCUUUGGUAAGUCUGUGGUAAAAGCUCGGGGCUCAACCCCGAGAGCGUCAUGGAAACUACCGAAGUUGAGCAGUAGAGAGGCAUCUGGAAUGCCGCAUGUAGGAGUAAAAUCCGUAGAUAUGCGGUAGAACGCCAAAAGCGUAGGCAGGAUGCUAGCUACUUGCUGACACUGAGAGACGAAAGCGUGGGGAGCGAAGCGGAUUAGAUACCCACGUAGUCCCUGAGCGGGCUGGCAAGGCGCAU